ensembl:lncRNA
GCUUCGGGGAACCGAACGAUCCAAGAUCACGCGAAAUCGUCAACAAUCAAAUCCAGCUAACCUACUUAGCGAGGUACGAAGAACGGGCCCCAGAUUCCAAACUUGAAAGAAGAAGAGGCGAUGACAGUGCGUAACACAUUUCGCAGCGACAUUGGAGAGGGUUCCAUUUUAUUAAUGACACCUGAAAGUUCCAUCAUCAUAAAUUCACCUGAAACCACCAUAAUUGAAAGCCCUUGCCCACACAGAACACAUCUUUAGAAGUUCCGGACUGAUGAGAAAAUCUUUUCUAAAUUUGGCCAUCGCAGAAUCUGGGUACGAGGAUCUGCUCUAUACAGCUUGUUAACACUCCAGAUGAAGAAAAGGUGGUCUGUGAAUGACUCUGAGCUCGAAAGGAGGAUAAACUUGUGAAGAAUGUGAAGAAGAGUGAGACCGAACAAGCCGCAGCAUGCCUAUUCAUGUACCUGCUCUGCAGUCGCAAAUCAAGAAGGUUUUGUGGAUUACCCCAGCUCCACGUCCAAGCAAUAAACUGUCCACCUCAUGUAAAAUGUUUUACUGCUGUACUGGUUUUAAGUGACCAAGUUCUUGCCAGAAGAACUACACCGGGCUUGUUACAUUAGGAAUAUUGGUGCCGAUGAGGGAGUCUGCCGGCAUCUAAUCCAGCCCAGUCACAUGGUUUAUUAAUUAAACUCCCGGAGAGCAGCCAUUUGGCUUUUCUACCUUUAAAACCCAGAGAGCAGCCAAAUGGCUUUUAGCUAGGCUUUAGCUUCAGCGAAGUGGA